UACAGAGGGUGCAAGCGUUAAUCGGAAUUACUGGGCGUAAAGCGUGCGUAGACGGUUGCGUAAGUCAGAUGUGAAAGCCCCGGGCUCAACCUGGGAAUUGCAUUUGAGACUGCGUAGCUAGGGUGCGGAAGAGGGAAGCGGAAUUUCCGGUGUAGCGGUGAAAAGCGUAGAUAUCGGGAGGAACACCGGUGGCGAAGGCGGUUCUCUGGGCCUGACCUGACGCUGAGGAGCGAAAGCGUGGGGAGCGAACAGG
rnacentral:rRNA from 1 species